AUGGCCUCGACAAGGGCGGUGCCGGAGGUGCCGCUGCGGUCCGGCAACGCGAGGCCCAUGCCAGCGAUCGGCAUGGGAACCGCCAAGUUCCCGUUGGUGCCGCGGACCACCGUGAAGGCCGUGCUGGAGGCCGUGGAGGUCGGCUACCGUCACUUCGACACGGCCACCGUGUACGCGACGGAGCGGCCCCUGGGCGAGGCCCUCGCGGAGGCGGUGCGCCGCAGGCUCGUGGCGUGCUGGGAGGAGGUGUUCGUCACGUCCAAGCUCUGGUGCACGCAGUGCCACCCGCACCUCGUGCUCCCAUCCCUCCGGGAAAGCCUCCAUGGACCUGUACGGCUGUACCUGAUCCACUGGCCGAUCAGCCUGAAGCCCGGACCAGCGGUGUUCCCGGUCAGGAGGGACGACGCCGUGCCGUUGGACCUCGACGGCGUGUGGCGGGCGAUGGAGGAGUGCCACCGCCUCGGGCUCGCCAAGGCCAUCGGCGUCAGCAACUUCACCACCAGGCACCUGGACAAGCUCAUGGCGGCUGCCACUGUCCCUCCUGCAGUGAACCAGGUGGAGAUGAACCCGGCCUGGCAGCAGAGGAAGCUGAGGGAGUACUGCGCGGAGAAGGGUAUCCACGUCGCGGCCUACUCGCCGUUGGGAGGGCAGAACUGGUUGGGCGCCGGAAACGCCGUGCUGGACUCCGAGGUGCUUGCGGAGAUCGCCAUGGCCAGAGGAAAGACCAUCGCACAGGUGGCACUGAGGUGGAUCUACGAGCAAGGAGUGACCCCAAUCGUCAAGAGCUUCAGCAAGCAGAGACUUAAGGAGAACCUUGAGGUAUUCGACUGGGGGCUCACCGACGACGACCUGCGCAAGAUCGGCCGGAUUCCGCAGAAGAAGAUCGUCAAAGCUGCGGGCGUCGUGUUCACGACUGAGGGCGAGUUCAUGUCGGCUGACCUCGCAGACAUGGAAAUUGUCGAGGAAUAG
rnacentral:rRNA from 1 species